GACGAACGCUGGCGGCGUGCUUAACACAUGCAAGUCGAACGCUGAAGCUCAGCUUUUGUUGGGUGGAUGAGUGGCGAACGGGUGAGUAACACGUGAGUAACCUGCCCCCUUCUUUGGGAUAACGCCCGGAAACGGGUGCUAAUACUGGAUAUUCACUGGUCUUCGCAUGGGGGUUGGUGGAAAGGGUUUUUCUGGUGGGGGAUGGGCUCGCGGCCUAUCAGCUUGUUGGUGGGGUGAUGGCCUACCAAGGCUUUGACGGGUAGCCGGCCUGAGAGGGUGACCGGUCACAUUGGGACUGAGAUACGGCCCAGACUCCUACGGGAGGCAGCAGUGGGGAAUAUUGCACAAUGGGCGCAAGCCUGAUGCAGCGACGCCGCGGGAGGGAUGGAGGCCUUCGGGUUGUGAACCUCUUUCGCUCAUGGUCAAGCCGCAACAAUGGUUGUGGUGAGGGCAGUGGGUAAAGAAGCGCCGGCUAACUACGUG
rnacentral:rRNA from 1 species